GUUUUAAUAAUUUAAUUAAAAUAUUGGUCUUGUAAACCAAAAAUAAGAAAUGUAAUCUUUUAAAACU
rnacentral:tRNA from 1 species